CCUACGGGUGGCAGCAGUGAGGAAUAUUGGUCAAUGGCCGGAAGGCUGAACCAGCCAAGUCGCGUGAGGGACGACUGCCCUAUGGGCUGUAAACCUCGUUUAUAAGGGAAGAAUAAAUGCUACGUGUAUCAUGAUGCCUGUACCUUAUGAAUAAGCAUCGGCUAACUACGGUCCAGCAGCCGCGGUAAUACGGAGGGUGCGAGCGUUAACCGGAAUUACUGGGCGUAAAGCGCGCGUAGGCGGUUUGUCAAGUCAAGGGUGAAAUCCCAGCGCUCAACGUGGGAACUGCCUUUGAAACUGGCAAACUGGAGUGUAUAAGAGGAUAGUGGAAUUCCAGGUGGAGGAGUGAAAUCCGCAGAUAUCUGGAGGAACACCAGUGGCGAAGGCGACUAUCUGGCACAUAACUGACGCUGAGGAGCGAAAGCGUGGGUAGCAAACAGGAUUAGAUACCCCUGUAGUC
rnacentral:rRNA from 1 species